rnacentral:rRNA from 1 species
AUGGCUAUGGUGUCAGCUAAGAUGGCGACCUAUGAGCCCAAGAACAUCCUCAUAACUGGUGCUGCGGGUUUCAUUGCAUCCCAUGUGGCGAACCGUCUAAUUAGGAGCUAUCCUCACUACAAGAUUGUGGUACUCGACAAGAUUGACUACUGCUCCAACCUGAAAAAUCUCAACCCCUCCCGGCCAUCGCCAAAUUUCAAGUUUGUCAAGGGCGACAUCGCAAGUGCUGACCUGGUGAACUAUCUUCUCAUCACUGAGUCGAUCGACACCAUCAUGCACUUUGCUGCCCAGACUCAUGUGGAUAAUUCGUUCGGCAAUUCCUUUGAGUUUACAAAGAACAACAUAUAUGGCACCCACGUUCUCCUUGAGGCGUGCAAGGUCACUGGCCAGAUCAGAAGAUUUAUUCACGUCAGUACUGAUGAGGUGUAUGGAGAAACUGAUGAGGAUGCUGUGGUUGGUAACCAUGAGGCCUCGCAGUUGCUUCCGACAAAUCCAUAUUCAGCUACCAAAGCUGGGGCUGAAAUGCUUGUGAUGGCUUAUGGGAGGUCUUAUGGUCUUCCUGUGAUUACAACCCGAGGCAACAAUGUGUAUGGACCAAAUCAGUUCCCUGAGAAGCUCAUCCCAAAAUUUAUCCUUUUGGCCAUGAAAGGCUUGCCCCUUCCAAUUCAUGGUGAUGGCUCUAAUGUCAGGAGCUACCUGUACUGUGAGGAUGUUGCUGAAGCUUUUGAGGUAGUUCUUCACAAAGGAGAGGUUGGACAUGUGUAUAAUAUUGGUACUGUGAAGGAGAGGAGGGUAAUUGAUGUGGCCAGUGACAUAUGCAAGCUAUUUGGCUUGGACACCGAAAAGGUCAUCAGGUUUGUCGAGAAUAGGCCCUUCAAUGACCAGAGGUACUUCCUGGAUGAUCAGAAACUGAAGAAGUUAGGAUGGGCAGAGCGCACGACAUGGGAAGAGGGUUUGAAGAAAACAAUUGAAUGGUACACCAGCAAUCCUGAUUACUGGGGAGAUGUUGCCGGUGCAUUGCUCCCUCAUCCAAGGAUGUUGAUGACACCUGGAGUUGAAAGGCAUAACUGGACUGAGGAAAUCAAAUCUCUUGCUUCUUCGCCAGCUGAAGCCAAGGAAUGUAGUACAGUACCGGCUGCAGCCACAUCCAAGAGUACCAGCAGUGUCCCUCAAAAGGCCACCUACAAGUUCUUAAUAUAUGGCAAGACUGGAUGGAUUGGUGGCCUACUUGGGAAGAUAUGUGAGAAGCAAGGCAUACCUUAUGAAUAUGGUAAAGGGCGCCUGCAAGAGCGCUCUCAGCUCUUGCAGGACAUUAGAAACGUGAAGCCGACUCAUGUUUUCAAUGCUGCUGGUGUCACUGGAAGGCCAAAUGUUGACUGGUGUGAGACCCACAAACAGGACACUAUCCGCACCAAUGUUGUAGGCACCUUGAAUCUUGCUGAUGUUUGUCGUGAGCAGGGGUUGCUCAUGAUUAAUUAUGCUACAGGUUGCAUAUUUGAGUAUAAUGCUGAACACCCUGAAGGGUCUGGAAUUGGUUUUAAAGAGGAGGACACACCCAACUUUAUAGGUUCAUUUUAUUCCAAAACCAAAGCCAUGGUGGAAGAGUUAUUGAAGGACUAUGAUAAUGUCUGUACUCUUAGAGUCAGGAUGCCCAUAUCAUCAGACCUGAGCAAUCCUCGUAACUUCAUCACAAAAAUAGCCCGCUAUGACAAGGUGGUGAACAUUCCCAACAGUAUGACAAUUUUGGAUGAAUUGUUGCCUAUCUCUGUUGAGAUGGCGAAGCGGGAUUGUAGGGGCAUAUGGAAUUUCACCAACCCAGGGGUUGUCAGUCACAACGAGAUUCUGGAGAUGUACAAGGAAUACAUCAACCCGGACUUCAAGUGGACCAACUUCACGCUCGAAGAGCAGGCCAAGGUUAUAGUUGCACCAAGAAGCAACAACGAAAUGGACGCGUCAAAGCUGAAGUCCGAGUUCCCUGAGCUACUGUCCAUUAAGGAAUCUUUGAUCAAGAAUGUCUUUGAGCCAAACAGGAAGGUUUCUACUAAUUGA